CAGCAGAGGGAACUCUUUGGAGGAAGCAGCGUCUGUUUCCCACCAACGUUGCUUGUACAGCGCCUAACUUUUGGCAUUAUAUUGUUAUUAUUAUUGUUGCCUUCCACAGCCUUGAAAGGAAGAGACGCCAUAUGAAUAUUUGCAGAGAUAUUUGCAAAUUUGAAAAUAAAAUAGAGAGCCAGGCCCAUAGCUGGGGGGGCGGCCGGGCGCUAGGCCUCCACAGGCCCCCUAACUCGAAGGUUGCCAAUUUCUAACUAAAGCUAUUCCUGGAUAUUUCUGCUCUACCCUCAAUACAUUUUAUAACAUCUUGCCAUUAAGCUCUCCAUGAUAGUUUUCAUUGGUGACCUGGAGCUUUCUCACCCAGGGGCUUUACCCCGAAUCUCCUCUGGAAGGGAGGGUAUUUGUUGUUCUCUCCUGCCGAGCUCCAUUCAUUGCUUCAGAAGAUCUCCUUUAACAACAGUGCUGGAGAUGAAAUUGCCUUUCACAAAAAUGGAGAAGUAGCAGCUGGAUUUGAUGUUACAAAUUUGGUGACUUUCCAAAAUAAAUCCUAUGUCAGAGUGAAAAUUGGGAAACUGGAUCCUCAGGCUCCUCCAGGAAAAGUGCUCACCAUUGAUGAGGAGAUGAUCCAAUGGCACAGAGCUUUCACCCAGGGGGUUGCCAUUCUGUUCCCACUGGAUGAUGACGUCUUCAGGGAAUAACGCAUAGACUGUGCAAGUGAUGAAAGACAGUGAUGCGGCAGACUUGAGGUUCACACUGGGGAGCUGGUAGAAAGAUGCAUUGGGGCUGGUGCUCACGCCUUGUCCUGUUUGGUGAGAAAGGAAAGUAGUAGAAAGAGUGAAAGAGACAGAGAGAGACUGUUGAAUCAAUUAGGUCAAAUUAGUGGAAGGCAUGUGGUGAGCUGGGAUUCUGAAGGGAGGCGAUGGGGUGUAGUUCAGAGUGAUCCUGCAGGGCCAACAAAACACAGAGUCAGCAAUUGUUGCCUGGAUCCAGGCCAUCUCAGGGACAUCUGUCAUGUGGCAGUGCUACAUAUUGUGCUUACAGCUAUCUGUAUGCCUGUUCAUUUUUUGUGCAAAUGACUGCACCUGUGAUCAUUUUAAAAGAGACUCUGGGUACAAGUCCCGUCAAAUGCAGGGGCAGACAGGAAGUGUGGCCAAUAGGGAUGCGCACAAAUCAAUUUUUUUGAUUAAAUUUGUGCUCAAAUCAAAUCGCCCCUGAUUUGUUUUGUGUCCAGAUCUAACCCCCCCUCCAAAUCACCCCAGAUUCAAUUUGUAUUUGAAUCAAUUUGAUUCAGACUUGGAUCAAUUUGGACCACUUAACAAUGUCCUAGGGGCCCCAAAUUGGCAUGGUAGGUAGGUUCCCAUGGGUGCCACCUACCAUCCAGGUUUUAAGGUUUUGGGUACAUGGUUGAUUUUUAAUUAUUUUUUUUAGUUUUUAAUGAUUUUGUAUAUUUCUGCCAUAGGAAAUAAUGGGGAUUCAAAGUCGCCAUAUCCUAACCCUAAUAUAGCUCCCCAGCUUUCAUUUUUUAAAAGAAAGCUCUAGCCCUUAUAGAAGCAGAGUUAUGGGGCAAAAUGUGUGGUCAUUAUUUUUCAAGUGUUUGGAUUCUUUGGUGUAUAAUACUUUCCCCUCACAAUUAAUCCCUAUGAGGAUUCAUUGCACACCUUCAUUUCUUCUGUUCAUUUUGACUGUAUUGGACAGUGCCAACUGUCAACUGCCAUGUGCCAACAAAUCCCCCACCCUGCAAGGCAGUGGGGUACUCAAGGUUUUUUUUAGGAAUAUUGAAGUGUUUAGAUUCUUUGGUGUCUUCAUUACACACUUUCAUUUCUUCUUUUCAUUUUGAUCUCACUGCUCUGCAGGAGGGGUGGGGAAUUAGUGGCAUCCCAUGUUCCAACUACCCCCCAACCCACAAGCCACUGGGUACUCAGUUUAUAUUUUAGAAAUUUUUGAGGUGUUUAGACUCUUUGGUGUGUAAUGAAUCCUCUUAGGGAUUCAUUAUGGGGAAAAGUUAUUUAUUUAUUUAUUACAUUUAUAAACUGCCCCAUCCAAAGGCUCUGGGCAGUGUACAACAAAUUAAAAAAAAACAACCUAAAAACACACAUAAUUUAAAACACAGUGCUAAAAACAACAUUAAACAAUUUUUAAAAACCUAUUUAAAACUAAUUAAAAUACUUUAAAAAACAGUUUACAGACCUUGGAAGGCCAGGUCAAACAAGUAAGUUUUUGGGGCUGGUGCGCGCUCUCUCUCUCUCUCUCUCUCUCUCUCUCUCUCUCUCACACACACACACACACACAACACACACACACACACACACACACACACAAUUUUAUUUGCUAUAUUCACAUAAUAACAUAGAACAGUACCAUAAUAACACAGUACAUUUAACAAUCAUGUUUUCCAAAUGUCACAAGAAAAUCCAGAAUCAAAUCUAGUACUGUUAAUAUAAUAAAUAUAAUCUGCCCAAAUACGGUGAAACUGUGAUUCUGCUCUCACAGCCUGCAUUAAUCUAAUCUUAUCAGUGAUCUUUUCUAAGAGCUCAAUUGACCACACCUUAUUAUGCCAUUGCUCAAUUGUUAAUUGAUCCAAAUAUUUCCAUUGUUGAACAAUUUGUGUUUUUGUUGCCAGGAAUAAAAAAAUUACUAGUUCCUUAUUAUAUUAUAAACUUUGCCAGAAAAUUUGGAGAACGAUGCAGUGGCCAACAGAUUGGAAGAGGUCAGUCUACAUACCCAUACCAAAGAUGGGAGACUUAACAGUUGCCCAAACCAUCCUUAUUUCACAAGCUAGCAAAAUAAUGCUCAGGAUCAUCCAACACAGAUUAGAGCCCUACGUGGAAAGGGAAAUGCUGAAUGUUCAAGCUGGUUUCAGAAACGGCAGAGGAACAAGAGAAAAUAUUGCUGAUGCAUGCUGGAUAAUUGAGAAAGCCAAAGAAUACCAGAAAGAAGUCAAUAUGUGCUUCAUUGACUAAAGAAAAGCCUUUGCUUGCGUCAACCAUGUCAAGUUGUGGAAUAUCAUUAGGAAAAUGGGCAUCCCAGAACAUCUCAUUGUUCUCAUGAGAAACCUAUACACAGGGCAGGAAGCCACAGUCCAGACAGAACAUGGUGAAACAGACUGGUUCCAGAUCCCUACAGUCUUUACUAAAUGUCUUUACUAGAUGUAAAGAAGACUAAACUAAUGACAACGGGUACAGCAACCAGUCUCAGAAUUGACAAUGAAGACAUUGAAGUGGUGGAUAGUUUCUGACCUUUAGGAUCAGCCAUCAACAGUAAAGGAUCCAGCAGUCAAGAAAUAUGCUGCAGACUAACACUUGGUAGGAUUUCAAAGAAGGCCUCGGAAAGGAUAUUUAGAUGCUGUGAUGUUUCUACAUCUACAAAGAUUAGAAUUGUUCGGACAAUGGUUUUUCCCGUGACACACUAUGGAUGUGAAAGCUGUAGUUUGAAGAAGGAAAAUAGAAAAAGCAUUGACACUUUUGAACUUUGGUGCUGGAGAAGUCUUUUGAGGAUACCAUGGACUGCCAGGGAAACAAACAAAUGGAUUAUAGAACAAAUCAAUCCAGAAUUUUCACUCGAGGCACAAAUGACCAGGCUCAAACUAUCAUAUUUUGGACACAUUAUGUGAAGAUCCAGCUUCCUUGAGAAGUCCAUAAUGCUGGGCAAAGUUGAAGGGAAGAGACUAAGACGACUAACAGCAAGGUGGAUGGACUCGAUUACGACAGCAAUUAUUGCACCACUGAGAGACCUUAAAGGCCAGGUUGAAGACAGAUUAUCCUGGAGAGUAUCUAUCUAUGUGGUCGCUAAGAGUUGAUACUGACUUGAAGGCACCUAUUCAAUCAAUCAAUCAAUAUAAUCUCCUGUUUAGAAGAGCAACUGUCACCAAGCACCACCGUCUGGAAUUUACGUGAGAGAUGGGAGGGGAACCACUGCAAAUUAGUGCCUCCUAUCUCCAACUCCCCCAGGCGGUCCAGUAGGCUACCAUGGUUGAUGGUAUCGAAACGCACUGAGAUAUCCAAAAUAACCAGAUCCAAGAGAAGUACCAUGAUCCAAGAGAAGUUCCUAUCAGUAUCAUGCAUUUGAAGGCCCUGUAUCCAGAUGUCGGGAUUUCCGACCUCCAUGAGAUAAGGUUGUUUACCCAGUCAAACGGCAGUGUGCCAAGAGAAGCAGAGGGCUCCAGGUGCCUGGACAACCCCAGUAAUUACCUUUCAGAAGUCAGGAAGGGCUCAGAGAGGUGGGCAACAGCUGCUGGGGGAUGGGCAGGUGCUGCCCAAGAGACAGCAGAAUGGUGGAGAGGGAAUAGCAAUGGCUCCACAGCUGCAGACGUGUGUAGAAAUGCUAGUGAAGGGGUUGGAGUUGGAUAAAAAGGCCCCUUGGGAGGCCAGGGAUUGGAUGGCCAAUCCACUUGCCUGGCCAGGGAAGAAGGAGCAAGCUGGAAGGGGGAGAGGAGUGUCCUCAAUGUAGGGCUUUAUUUAAGGCAGGGGUUGCCGAAGAUGAGACGAUCAGCAGGAAUGGGGUUUGUUGGUCUGGUGGACUUCCGGAGAGGAGCACGGACCUUUGCUCCUGCUGAUAGGCAAAGGAGUGGAGUGCCUAUACUGCCCUCCUCCCCUAACUCUUAUAUUGCCCUCCCAACUCUUAUAUUGCCCAACUCUUAGGCAAUGCCCGUGCCUAUGAUUCAGAGAGAGAGUGUGUGUGUGUGUGAGAAGGUUAAUUAGAGUUUUCCUCCUCCCUAAACACAGAAACCGGGUUCACUUUAAAAAUGAACACAGGUACAGUCACCUAAAAACAUACCUGUUUAGUCAGGCUUUUAUUUUAUAGUUUUAAAGCUUUGUUUUUAGAGUUUUAUUGUAUUUUAAAUUGUUUUAAUUAUGUUAAUGUUUUAAUAGGUUUUAUAUUGUGAACCACCAAGGGACUUUUUGUAUGGGGUGGUAUAUAAGUGUAUGAAAAAAAUAAUGAAUUAAAAAAAUCACACUAACACAUGCACAAGGGUACAGAGAUCUGUACACUCAUACAGCAUGAUGUGUGAAUCUAGGUAAUGUGUGAAUAGGCCUGGGGCAUCUUAGCAUUCUAACCACAGGAUGAAUUUCUCCAUGAGUACAGUGCUCCUCUCUCCAGACAAACUCUGUGUCCGCUGAGAGCAUGGUGAAGUGGUGUUUGAGAGCGUGUCACAACAGAGAGUUACUGCCAAUACUUCCCCUUUUAUGUAAUGCCUGAACAGGGCACAGGGCUCGUUCUUGGUCAUUUAGCUACACUGUUUAAAUUCUCUUCCCCCUCCUCGAAGCCAUGCAUACUGUAUGUAUGCCUGCUUUUUGAGGUUAUAAGACUUUUGUAGUUUAGUUUACUUUGUGCCCCUUUAGGUAAAAAUCUAUUGGUGUUUGAUGAUUAGUGGACUUGCUGGUUUGAUUCUAUGUAGAUUUGUAGCCACUAUGGUUGUUCAGCUGGUCUAAAGAUCUUUAAAAGCCUUAGUUCUCCUUAAGGACCUUUGUUUAUUGCAUAACAAAAGAUAAAUAAAAACAAACAUUUCAAGGCCAAAUAUGUCAGCUUCAGUGUCCUUCCUACUCUUUCUGUGGAUCACAAUUUUAUAUUGUUGCAACUUCUACUCUAAUUGCACACAACCAGGUAACAAUUUCCUAAUCAGUGAAUAAGGCGGGGUGGGGAGAGGAAAGGAAAGAGUGAGCCAAGGAUAUGCAGCUGUGUUAUCUUCAUUCCAUUACAAACUAUUUAUUUAUUUAUUUAUUUAUUUAUUUAUUUAUUUAUUUAUUUAUUUAUUUAUUUAUUUGACACAUUUGUAUACCACUCAAAACGCAAGUCUCUGGGCGGUUUACAAUAAAACAAUAAAUCAACAGAUAAAUAGAUUAAAACAUUACAACAAUUAAAAUUUAAAAUGUUAAAACUAUUAAAAGCACAAUUAAAACAAAAUCUAAUUAAAAGCUUGGGUGAACAAAUGCGUCUUGACUACCUUUUUAAAAGUUGUAAGAGAUGGGGAGGCUCUUAUUUCAGCAGGAAGUGUGUUCCAAAGCCUUGGGGCAGCAAUGGAGAAGGCCUUCCCUGAGUAGCUACCAGACGAGCCUCUCCAGAUGAUCUCAAUGGGCGGUGUGGUUCAUAAUGAAGAAGGAGUCCUCUUAAAUACCCAGGGCCCAAGCUGUUUAGGGCUUUAUAGGUUAUAACCCAAACCUUGUAUUUUGCCCAGAAACUAAUCAGCAACCAGUGUAGAUCUUUUAAGAUGGGAGUGAAAUGGUCUCUCCGAGAUGACCCAGAGACCAACUUGGCUGCGGCAUUCUGGACCAACUGCAGUUUCUGGACUAUGUACAAAGGCAGCCCCACAUAGAGUGCAUUGCAGUAAUCAAGUCUGGAGAUGACCAGCAGAUGUACUACUGUUCUGAGGUCAUUUAUCUCAAGAAACGGAGGCAGGUGGCAUAUCAGCCGAAGCUGAUAAAAGGCACCUGUGGCCACUGUCUCAAUCUGGGACACCAGGGAGAGUUUUGUGUCCAGAAGACUGUGUACCUGUUCCUUCUGGGGAAGUGUGACCCCAUCCAGAACUGGCAGAUCAAAAUCAUCUCCUGAGUUCCGACCCCACACAACAAGUACCUCCGUCUUAUCUGGAUUCAGCUUCAGCUUGUUACCUCUCAUCCAGUCCAUCGCUGCCUCCAGGCAGGCAUUUAGGGAGGUUAUGCCUUCUCCUGAUGAUGUUCACAUGGACAAAAAUAUUUGGGUGUCAUCAGCAUACUGAUAACACCCUGCACCAAAUCUGAUUAUCUCUCCCAGCGGUUUCAUGUAGACAGUUAAACAACAUCGGAGACAAUACAGAGCCCUGAGGGACACCAUACCGAAGUUCAGAUAUUGAAGAACAACAGUCUCCGAGGGACAUCAUCUGGAAUCUGCCUGAGAGGUAAGAGUGGAACCACUGCAAAGCAGUGCCUCCCACCCCCAACCCCCUCAGACACUCCAGAAGGAUACUAUGGUCAAUAGUAUCAAAAGCCACGGAGAGGUCCAAAAGGACCAACAGAGUCACACUUCCUCUGUCAGUUCCCAGCUAGAGAUCAUCCCUCUGGCUGACUAAGGCAGUCUCCACCCCAUAGCCCACCCGAAUCAGGUUUCAAAUGGGCCUAGAUAAUAAUUUUCAUCCAAGACUGCCUGGAGUUGGGAGGCUACCACUCUCUCAAUUUACUUUGCCCAACCACUUUAAUAAGCAAUGUACUUAACAGUCUCUCUUAACUCUUCCUUACCAUUUACACUGGUUUUAAGUUUAUCUCUAUAUAUUGCCUCCCUGAUUUUUCUUUGCACCAGACAUCGUUCCACUUCCCACACAUUCACUUUAAUAGGCAUUCUUAUUCCAUCAUGUUUUUUUGCCAUGUGCACUGUCCAUGGUCUCUCUGUAUUAAUAUAUUCCAUGUCUGCUAUGUGUUCUUUGAAUCUGAUGGCUUGGCUUACUCUCUUCCCGUUUCUCCUAUAUAAAACUCCCCACACUCUUUGCUUCUUAUUUUAUAUACGACUCCUUUCAAUUUACAACUCCCCUCCCCUACUUCUCAUACUGGGCAGUCUGUCCUUUCGCAUUUCCUAUCAUAGAGCCUCGUUCUCAGGGGUGGAGCCACCAUUGUGAGAAUGGGUUCAAAGAACCUGGGCCACCAAUGAAUAGGGCCGCCGAAGCCUGCAGGGGGCGUGGCUCGGGCUCUGGAGGAGCACAGAGCAAACUCCUCCUUCCCAUGCCGGGCCUUCCAAGAGCCCCAAGUGAACUCUCUGCUUAUCAUUUCAGGCAGUGCUUGCUGCCUGACAGCACGUAUUUCCCUUUCUCUCCCUCCAGAGAGGGAGAGAAAGGGAAAUACAUCCUAUCAGGCAGCCAGCUGAGAGCUUGCUUGGGCUCUUGGGAGCCUGGGCCAACCUCCUUUGCUCGUGACAUCACUUGCAUGGAGUGUAACUGGAGGGGGCUGCCGAGUGGGGCUGGAACUAGGCCGCCAUUUGGUUGGCUCUGCGACUGCUCGUUCUCACAAACGAUUGUUUCAGUGUCUUAGCUGAAUGAACUACUACAUUAGCUUUGAUGUCCUAUUUGUGUCAAGUUCUCUGGCAUUGUCUGAUAACGUUAUCAGAUAUAAAUGGAAUCUUCAAGACAGGAAAACCAGGUACAUAUUUAAUUCCUCCCAUUCUCCUUAGGGGAAAUUUAUAACUAUUAGUUUCCCCCAAAUCUAUGGCCCUUUCUUUGGACUGUUCUUUAUAUUCCUCUCCAUCAUGUGAGUUUUUAUAAUCUGUGGGUGUGUUGAAGUACUAUUUAUAAUCAAAUCCUUCUUUUCUGGAACAAAGCAGACAUAUUUGAUGCUAAAACGUUUGUUUUUAUUUGUCUUUUUUUAAUGCAAUAAAUGAAGGUCAUUAAGGAGAAAUUGUGAGUCAUCUUAUGCGUAUUGUGUUUCCUGUAUACCAACUAAUACAAAGUCUUAGUUCUGCUUCUGGAGGGUGGAUUUUGAUCCCCUAUAUUUUAGAAUGUGAAAUAUUUUACAAUCUCUGACAAUUUUUAAAAAGCAUUUGAAAACCCACCUCUUCACCCAAGCUUUUUCAGGUUUUAAAAUUGUUUAGGUUUUAAUCUGUGUUUGAUUUUAAAUUAUCUAGAUUGUUUUAAUUUUUUGUGUGUAUGUUUCUAACUUGUUUUUAUGUUAUUGUUAACCGCCCAGAGAUGAAAGUUUGGGGUGAUGUACAAAUCUGAUAAGUAAGUGAGUAAAUAAUAAAUAUUGACCAUGCAAAACGA